rnacentral:rRNA from 1 species
GUCUACUGUCAUACCACCUUGAACGCACCCAGUUGCAUCUGAUCUUGGAAGCUAAGCAGGGUCAGGNGUGGCUAGUACUUGGAUGGGAGACUGCCUGGGAAUAUCAGGUGCUGUAGGCU